rnacentral:rRNA from 1 species
UACGUAGGGGGCAAGCGUUGUCCGGAAUCAUUGGGCGUAAAGAGCGUGUAGGCGGCCCGGCAAGUCCGCCGUGAAAGUCCAGGGCUCAACCCUGGAAUGCCGGUGGAUACUGUCGGGCUAGAGUCCGGAAGGGGAGAGUGGAAUUCCUGGUGUAGCGGUGAAAUGCGCAGAUAUCAGGAGGAACACCGAUGGCGAAGGCAGGUCGCUGGGACGGUACUGACGCUGAGACGCGAAAGCGUGGGGAGCGAACAGG